ensembl:misc_RNA 7SK 7SK RNA
GGAUGUGAGGGCGAUCUGGCUGCGACAUCUGUCACCCCAUUGAUCGCCAGGGUUGAUUCGGCUGAUCUGGCUGGCUAGGCGGGUGUCCCCUUCCUCCCUCACCACUCCAUGUGCGUCCCUCCCGAAGCUGCGCGCUCGGUCGAAGAGGACGGCCUUCCCCGAAUAGAGACGGACCGGUCUUCGGUCGAGGGUAUACGAGUAGCUGCGCUCCCCUGCUAGAACCUCCAAACAAGCUCUCAAGGUCCAUUUGUAGGAGAACGUAGGGUAGUCAAGCUUCCAAGACUCCAGACACAUCCAAAUGAGGCGCUGCAUGUGGCAGUCUGCCUUUCUAA